CACUGGUCGAGAGUUGGCGCUGCUCUCCCAUGAGUCCAAGGCAGGACGAAACCAGUG
rnacentral:sRNA from 1 species